AUUAUAUAUAUUGUCCAUUAUAACAAGUUUUUGGAGUGUAUAUUCUCUUUACCCAUUGUUGCACAAUACAACUGAGAGUAGUUUGCAUAUGUGUUUCCACAUGUGCUUUCCUGAUUUUUCAGAUUAAUUCUAUCAAUGGCUUAAAAUCCUGCUGUGGUUCUCCUGAACUAUUCUGUUUUUCCCUGAGGACUCUGGUUCCUUCCUGUAUGGUCUGCUGUCUUUUGCUGUUUUACCUCUUUGCAUUGUAUGUCUGAAA